rnacentral:rRNA from 1 species
CCUACGGGUGGCAGCAGUCGAGAAUUAUUCACAAUGGGGGAAACCCUGAUGGUGCGACGCCGCGUGGGGGAAUGAAGGUCUUCGGAUUGUAAACUCUUGUCAUGUGGGAGCAAAUUAAAAAGAUAGUACCACAUGAGGAAGAGACGGCUAACUCUGUGCCAGCAGCCGCGGUAAUACAGAGGUCUCAAGCGUUGUUCGGAAUGACUGGGCGUAAAGGGUGCGUAGGCUGUUUCGUAAGUCGUGUGUGAAAGGCGCGGGCUCAACCCGCGGACGGCACAUGAUACUGCGGGACUAGAGUAAUGGAGGGGGAAACGGAAUUCUCGGUGUAGCAGUGAAAUGCGUAGAUAUCGAGAGGAACACUCGUGGCGAAGGCGGGUUCCUGGACAUUAACUGACGCUGAGGCACGAAGGCCAGGGGAGCGAAAGGGAUUAGAUACCCUUGUAGUC